GACGAACGCUGGCGGCGUGCUUAACACAUGCAAGUCGAACGGAAAGGCCCUGCUUGCAGGGAACUCGAGUGGCGAACGGGUGAGUAACACGUGGGUGAUCUGCCCUGCACUUCGGGAUAAGCCUGGGAAACUGGGUCUAAUACCGGCUAGGAGCCAUUUUUAGUGUGAUGGUUGGAAAGUUUUUUCGGUGUAGGAUGUGCUCGCGGCCUAUCAGCUUGUUGGUGGGGUAAUGGCCUACCAAGGCGGCGACGGGUAGCCGGCCUGGGAGGGUGGACGGCCACAUUGGGACUGAGAGACGGCCCAGACUCCUACGGGAGGCAGCAGUGGGGAAUAUUGAACAAUGGGCGCAAGCCGGAUGCAGCGACGCCGCGUGGGGGAUGACGGCCUUCGGGUUGUAAACUCCUUUCGCUAGGGACGAAGCUUUUUGUGACGGUACCUAGAUAAGAAGCACCGGCUAACUACGUG
rnacentral:rRNA from 1 species